UAGCGAACUGUGCGAACGUUAUUCGGAAUCACUGGGCUUACAGGGUGCGUAGGCGGCUUAGGCAAGUCAGGUGUGAAAAGCCCCCCGGCUCAACCGGGGAACUGCGCUUGAAACUGCUGAGCUCGAGUCAGCUAGAGGUACACGGAACUUCCAGUGGAGCGGUGAAAUGCGUAGAGAUCGGGAGGAACACCAGAGGCGAAGGCGGCGACCUGGACAGGUACUGACACUCAACGUACGAAAGCGUGGGGAGCAAACAGG
rnacentral:rRNA from 1 species